CCCUUAGAUGUCCGGGGCCGCACGCGCGCUACACUGAAGGAAUCAGCGUGGCUUUCUCCCUGACCCGAAAGGGUUGGGAAACCCGUUGAAUCUCCUUCGUGAUAGGGAUUGGGACUUGAAAUUGUUCCCCAUGAACGAGGAAUUCCCAGUAAGCGCGAGUCAUAAGCUCGCGUUGAUUACGUCCCUGCCCUUGUACACACCGCCCGUCGCUACUACCGAUUGAACGGUUUAGUGAGGGCCUCGGAUUGGUCUCGGCCCGCUCUUUACCGGGCGGCGCCGUUGGUCGAGAAGACGCUCGAACUUGAUCGUUUAGAGGAAGUAAAAGUCGUAACA
rnacentral:rRNA from 1 species